CCUACGGGAGGCAGCAGUGGGGAAUAUUGCACAAUGGGGGAAACCCUGAUGCAGCGACGCCGCGUGAGCGAAGAAGUAUUUCGGUAUGUAAAGCUCUAUCAGCAGGGAAGAAAAUGACGGUACCUGACUAAGAAGCACCGGCUAAAUACGUGCCAGCAGCCGCGGUAAUACGUAUGGUGCAAGCGUUAUCCGGAUUUACUGGGUGUAAAGGGAGCGCAGGCGGGAAGACAAGUUGGAAGUGAAAACCAUGGGCUCAACCCAUGAAUUGCUUUCAAAACUGUUUUUCUUGAGUAGUGCAGAGGUAGAUGGAAUUCCCGGUGUAGCGGUGGAAUGCGUAGAUAUCGGGAGGAACACCAGUGGCGAAGGCGGCUUACUGGACGAUGACUGACGUUGAGGCUCGAAAGCGUGGGGAGCAAACAGGAUU
rnacentral:rRNA from 1 species